rnacentral:misc_RNA from 1 species
CAACCCUCAAGCAAUGCUUGGUAUUGGGCUCCGCUGCUUAUCUAGCGGGCCUUAAAAUCAGUGGCGGUGCCGUCUUGGGCCCUGAGCGCAGUAAAUAUCCUCGCUAUAGGGACUCGGUGGACGCUGGCCAUCAACCCCCAACUCUCUAA